rnacentral:rRNA from 1 species
AUUGAACGCUGGCGGAAUGCUUUACACAUGCAAGUCGAACGGCAGCACGGACUUCGGUCUGGUGGCGAGUGGCGAACGGGUGAGUAAUGUAUCGGAACGUGCCCAGUCGUGGGGGAUAACGUAGUGAAAAUUACGCUAAUACCGCAUACGAUCUAUGGAUGAAAGCGGGGGAUCGCAAGACCUCGCGCGAUUGGAGCGGCCGCUAUCAGAUUAGGUAGUUGAUGGGGUAAAGGCCCACCAAGCCAACGAUCUGUAGCUGGUCUGAGAGGACGACCAGCCACGCUGGAACUGAGACACGGUCCAGACUCCUACGGGAGGCAGCAGUGGGGAAUUUUGGACAAUGGGCGAAAGCCUGAUCCAGCCAUUCCGCGUGCAGGAUGAAGGCCCUCGGGUUGUAAACUGCCUUUGUACAGAACGAAAAGGUUUCUACUAAUACUAGGAGCUCAUGACGGUACUGUAAGAAUAAGCACCGGCUAACUACAUGCCAGCAGCCGCCGUAA